GGGGAUAGCACAAUGGUAGUGCAUUAUUUUUUUAAUAAAAUUUAAGGUAUUCGGUAAAGACUGUUGGUUUGAUUCUUACUAUUCCCA
rnacentral:tRNA from 1 species